UUGGGUUUUGCCCUCAGCCUGCCUCACGCUCCCUCAUCAGCCACACGAUUGGAUACUAUUCCACCAUAAAAAGGAAUGAAGUGCAGAUAUGUGCUGUGCCAUAGGUGAACCUUGAAAACAUGCCGAGGGAAAGAAGCCAAUCCCAAAAUACUUCAUAUUGCUGAUUCCAUUUACACGGAGUGUCCAGGAUCCCAUCUGGGACAUAUACUGAUGAAAUUUGAAGUGGGGUUCACGAACAAACGACUAAGAAAGAAUUUUUGAGAUGUCUUCAGUGCGAACAGAUUUUUCUAUAAUGAGUACUUAUUACUCAUAUAAUAGCAAUUCUGCUAAUGAACUUAUCAUCGAACAUGGGAACUGCAAAGGAAACCUCCUUCAUCUUUUCCCACCAAAGCAGCCUCUAUUCCAUUUUAUUUGCCUUUGGCCCACAGACCAUAAACCUCAUCUGUGUAUAGUGGAUGUGGACCUGAAAGAAAAAUGAAGGACGUGCUACAGGUGUUGGCCUUCAAGUUCUUGCAAGAGGAAGUGACACAUAGUCAGAUGGGGGAGGUAUCAGUGUUCCCUUUGCUUUGCUUCCUCCUCUUUUCUCCAACUGAAGAGUUGAGAGCUUAGUUUAAUCCACAUCAUUUACAUUGGGCAGAUUAAGUCAUGUGACCCUAGACCUUGCUGGAAAAGAAAGUUUCCUUUGAUUAGUGGCAGAAAACCCUCAGUCCUUCACCUGUGCAAGAUUUAUGGAACGAAAAUGAAAGUCAGGUGGGCAGUUUCUUCGGCUCCUUUGAUGGCUCUUGUGUAAACACCUAAUACCCAUUUCAGAGCUCUUACCACUCACUUUCUAGGUCUCAAUGGUCUCUUUGGAUCCCUGUGAAUCCGAAAUGAGCAGGCACGUGGCUGGUCAUGAUUGGAGUGACCGUAUUUACUUUGAUUAAAUG